rnacentral:rRNA from 1 species
UACGUAGGGCGCAAGCGUUAUCCGGAAUUAUUGGGCGUAAAGAGCUCGUAGGCGGUUUGUCGCGUCUGCCGUGAAAGUCCGGGGCUCAACUCCGGAUCUGCGGUGGGUACGGGCAGACUAGAGUGAUGUAGGGGAGACUGGAAUUCAUGGUGUAGCGGUGAAAUGCGCAGAUAUCAGGAGGAACACCGGUGGCGAAGGCGGGUCUCUGGGCCGAUACUGACGCUGAGGAGCGAAAGCGUGGGGAGCGAACAGG